rnacentral:rRNA from 1 species
ACGGGUGAGUAACGCGUGAGCAAUCUGCCUUUAAGAGGGGGAGUAACAGUCGGAAACGGCUGCUAAUACCGCAUAAAGCAUCAAAUUCGCAUGUUUUUGAUGCCAAAGGAGCAAUCCGCUUUUAGAUGAGCUCGCGUCUGAUUAGCUGGUUGGCGGGGUAACGGGCCCACCAAGGCGACGAUCAGUAGCCGGACUGAGAGGUUGAACGGCCACAUUGGGACUGAGACACGGUCCAAACUCCUACGGGAGGCAGCAUG